rnacentral:rRNA from 1 species
UACGUAGGGGGCAAGCGUUUGUCCGGAAUCAUUGGGCGUAAAGCGCGCGUAGGCGGCCUCAUAAGUCCGCUGUAAAAGUCAAAAGGCUCAACCUUUGAACGCCGGUGGAUACUGUGAGGCUAGAGUCCGGAAGAGGCGAGUGGAACUCCUGGUGUAGCGGUGGAAUGCGCAGAUAUCAGGAAGAACACCAACGGCGAAGGCAGCUCGCUGGGACGGUACUGACGCUGAGGCGCGAAAGCGUGGGGAGCAAACAGG